rnacentral:rRNA from 1 species
AUUGAACGCUGGCGGCAGGCUUAACACAUGCAAGUCGAGCGGGGUGAUGGUGCUUGCACUAUCACUUAGCGGCGGACGGGUGAGUAAUGCUUAGGAAUCUGCCUAUUAGUGGGGGACAACAUCUCGAAAGGGAUGCUAAUACCGCAUACGUCCUACGGGAGAAAGCAGGGGAUCACUUGUGACCUUGCGCUAAUAGAUGAGCCUAAGUCGGAUUAGCUAGUUGGUGGGGUAAAGGCCUACCAAGGCGACGAUCUGUAGCGGGUCUGAGAGGAUGAUCCGCCACACUGGGACUGAGACGCGGCCCAGACUCCUACGGGAGGCAGCAGUGGGGAAUAUUGGACAAUGGGGGGGACCCUGAUCCAGCCAUGCCGCGUGUGUGAAGAAGGCCUUAUGGUUGUAAAGCACUUUAAGCGAGGAGGAGGCUCUUUUGGUUAAUACCCAAGAUGAGUGGACGUUACUCGCAGAAUAAGCACCGGCUAACUCUGUGCCAGCCGCCGCAGUAA